GGGGGUCUAGCAAUCUGGUGAAUGCAGCGGACUCAUAAUCCGCCUUAGGUGGGUUCGAUCCCCACGACCCCCA
rnacentral:tRNA from 1 species